rnacentral:snRNA from 1 species
GUUCUCACUUCAGCAGCACAUAUAAUAAAAUUGGAACAAUACAAAGAAGGUUAGUAUGGCUCCAGCACAAGGAUGACACACAAAUUUGUGAAGCCUUCCAUAAUUUU